GGGCUCCACCUUGGCCAGGCUGCCGGGGUGGAGUCGGAGUCACCCUCACCUGGGGAUCGCGAAGGGGCCCCAGCCACGGGCUCUGCUCCAGCCCUUCUCGCGCCAGGGCCUUGGCUCUUUGAGUUGUCUCUGGGGUGGGGCUUUUCAUCCCCCACCCAUCAGUGUCUCUCCCCACCCUUUGCCAUGACCCUGUUGCAUCAAAGUUAGGGCAGGACUAACAGGGCUGUGGCACUAGCAGGGCCCCAGAAGCGGGUAUUUUCCAGUCCAUGCAGACUGGCUACGUUGUGCGUUAACUGUUCUGCUAGGGUGCUGGGAUUUGCUUGGCUAGCAGGGGCAAGCAGUGAGGCUAAAGUUCAGACAAAAACCAGCCGGGCACAUUUGGGAAAUGGUCUUUUCCCUAAAUGAACCUGAGAUGAAACGGUUCUCACAGUUUCUCACCCUUGGUGAACAAGGGUGGAAAGGAUCAAGCUGGGGGCAGGCUCUACAUCUGCUCCACAAUCCCCUUAACACAAGGAAAGGAAGUGGCUGUCUGAGGCUAGAGGGGACCAUGUUCAGUACAGAGGGAGGGGCUGCAUGUGAGCAGGAGAAAUGGCACAGGCAGCAAUCUGGGAGCUGGCUGUGCAGGGAAGGCCUGGUGGCAAGGAGCCCAGGAGGAAAGACUGAAAAAUUGAGAGCCAGUUUCCAGUAACCCUGAAAAGUGAUCUGCUGUGACUCAAAAUGGAUGUUGAUCUCCACCCACCAAAGGCUUCCUGACAUUGCUGCGUGCAAUGAAAGAUGCUACUGGUGAAAGACGUCAACAUGCAGGAUCCCUGCGGUGGGGUGGGGCAAGUCAUGCAAUUGCUGCCCUGCCAUCAUCGUGUGAGGUUGUUCUCUGGAGCAGGUAUUCAGAGCAAUCCUUCUGCAAAAUGAAACCUCACCAGGUGAAGAGAGGGACAAAGAGAGGGAGUCCUACAAAUCUAGCCAACUGCGUUCAAAUUGGGUAUCUUGCAUGAGAUUCAAAUCUAGCCCAUUCAGUGAACAUCAGCAGCCUCAUUAUUAUUAAUUACCUUAGCACCUAGAGUCCCCACCCAAGAUUGGAGCGGGCCCUGUUGUACAUAUGCUUAGGAAGCAGAGUCCUAAAAAGUCCCCACAAUUUGCCAAGCAGCAUGACACUCUGUGGGGGGGGGGGGGAAGCAUUCAGCUCGUGAUAAAACGAGCAAAUGCAGAGGAAGCCGUUGGGUGCCAGGGGUCCCCUUGGUACGGGUGACGCACUCAGGGACCCAAGCCAAGAGGCUCGCCGGUCACCAAGUGAUGAAUCCGAUGCCGAGAAGAGUGCUUUGCUGUUGGGACAACUGCAGCUGCAUUUCAGUUCCGUUGCUAGGGAGGGCAGGGGAAACUACAAGCCCUAUCAACCACCCUUAUGCCCAAGAGUAGCCCCCUUGGCCCCAGCUGGGCUGUGAAUGAGAGUCAGGGUGGCAGGAUCAGGCCUGUCAAUUGAGCGUAUCGUAUGUGGGUUUAUUGGUAAAGAUGUUCUGGUUAACGACGCUAAUUUCCUAGUCCCUGCUAAUUCCCCAGUCAGCCUAAGAAUCUCUCAAAUGGUGGCCUUCACACCCCCAGCCUUCAACUUCAUUUCACCUACUGUUAUUAUUCCUAUAGCACCUAGUGUCAGGCGACUGGAGGUGGGCAGUCUAGCCUAGUGGGCAGUGCGAGCAUUAGGUCUAAGGGUUAGAGAAGGCAGCAGGAACUGAGCAUCAGAAACCAGGGGCUAGGGUCAGAGCCGGAGACUGAGCUCAGGCACUGGGUACCACAGCCAACAGUCAAGCUGGAGUCCCCUAGAGCAGGCAGGAUAACAGGCCAGGUGGGGUGUCUGGCAGGGACAAGAGUAGUGACAAUAAUGUGCACAAGCACUGAACAGAUAGCAAGCUGCUGCUGGCAUGAGCUGCUUUACUGGCCCCUCCAGCUGAUCAGACAGCCUACUGCAAGCCAUGGAUUGCCUGGAGACUGUCUCUGUUUCAGGCCCUGAUUUCUGACACCUGGCACCCCAUUGUGCUAGGCCCCAUAUGAACACCUAGGAAGAGACAGUCCUGGCUCCAAACAGCUUACCAUCUAUGUAAACAUGACUGAGGAAAGCCAGGAGAAAGGAAGUGCUGUUAUCACCAUUUUACUGAUGGGGGAUUGAGGCACCAGGAAGAUUGAGACUUGCCCAAGGUCACUUGGGCAGUCUGUGGCAGAACUGAGCAUUGAACCCUGAUUUCCUGAGUCCAGUGCCUCAAUCACAAGACUGUCUUUUCCCUCCCAUUGAGCUCUCUUUGGGGAGGGGGGCGGGGGCUGGGCUCAUGGCCAUGGGGGCGUGCAUAGCAGGAGGGGAUCAAAAUCACCACCAGAAUUGUUUAAAACUUUUCAUCUACAUGGCUAUGGACUUAAACCCUCUCCCCAAACAAUUUGGACAAUAAAUGCUGCAACCUGAAAGCCCUGACUACAAAGGAGAAGAGCAGGUGAACCUGAAGCUGAAUGAAAAAUCUCUGGUGGUAUUUGACUGGUUAUGUUACAUUUAGUGAAUACCAACAACUUUACAUGAUCAGCUAUUGCUUUCUGUGAUACCGUUUUUAUUCUUCGUCCCAGCAAAUCCUAGCUAAAGCUGGCUCAGGAUACUCAAUGCAGCUGACAAAAUAUAACAAUAAUGCACAUAAUAAUAAUAACUUACAGAAGAAUAUACGAAGAGGAGAAUCUGUCCCUUUGUGUGUGUUUUUCAAGGCAUGAGGCUUUAGGCCAAGUAUCUUUAAUGGUCUCUUCUCUGCCAAGAAUGGGAGUAUUCACUCAGAAAUAUAGGACAGGGGCCAGAUUAUCUCAUCAGUUGUGGAGGCCAAAGCCAAUGGGAGCUGCAUGCAUGCAACUGACAGGCUAAUUGAGCCCCAGAAGUUCUAACGCCAGCACUGCUUGAAUAGAAGUGGUAGGAGUCCUUUAGCGCUUGCCAAAUGCAGCUGCUAAUGUCCGUUAGCCAGGGUAUAUAAGUGUACAUCUUAGAAAGCCAGCCCAUUCCUGGAAGAACUGUAACUCCACACUAGACUGAACAUUAAGGAACUAAUUUUAUCCUCCUAAGCUUCAUCCUUUCUGCCAUCUCAGAGGGGAUCAGAGUAAUAGUUUGGUAUAUUAUUUAAAGAUAACAUCAGACACAGCUAAUUAUUAGAGUUAUUAUAGGACACUGGUUUAUUGAACUGCCGAAGUGUAAUCACUGAACUCCUUGAAUUUUAACAGAGUUUGUUUUCUAAAGGAAUAAAAUAGCAGGAUCCAGUAAUAUUCAGCUCUAGUUUAGUCUCGGAAUCUUUUCUAUGCCAUGAAUAUUUGGAUGUGUUGAAACAGGAAGAGCUAUGUGCAACUGAGGGAAAAACACAACCCAGCAAUGGGCUGGCUCAGAUUUACAGGGGGAAUCCCAUAAAUGGGCUGGGGGGAGGAACAGAGAAACUAUUAAAACAUUUGUGAACAUCCCCCACAACUUUCCUCUCCCAAAACAUUAAAACUCCGACAGAAUAAAUCACUCAUUAAAAUAAAGGAAAAUAUUUUAAUUCACAUGGGAGGGAAAAACCCAUGAAAAUUUCAGAAAACAUCC